rnacentral:rRNA from 2 species
UUAAGCUGAUAAGUGCAUGGGGCGGAUGCCUUGGCACUGGGAGCCGAAGAAGGACGUGAUAAGCUGCGAAAAGCUGCGGUGAGGAGCAAACAUCUUAUGACCCGCAGAUAUCCGAAUGGGGAAACCCGGCAGUGCAGACCACUGUCAUCCAUACGCCAAUACAUAACGUAUGGAAGGGAACCCGGGGGACUGAAACAUCUAAGUACCCGGAGGAAGAGAAAGAAAAAUCGAUUUCCUUAGUAGCGGCGAGCGAAAGGGAAAGAGCCCAAACCUGAAUGCUUGCAUUCAGGGGUUAGGACUGCAUAAUCGACUGCUGACGGAAGGAGAACGGCAUGGGAAGGCCGUCCAGAGAGCGUGAGAGACGCGUAUCCGAAUCUGAAGGCAGCGAGGCAGUAUCCAGAGUACCACGAGACACGAGAAACCUUGUGGGAAAGAGCGGGGACCACCCCGUAAGGCUAAAUACUACCCAGUGACCGAUAGCGCAUAGUACCGUGAGGGAAAGGUGAAAAGGACCCCGGGAGGGGAGUGAAAGAGAACCUGAAACCCUGUGUAUACAAGCUGUGGGAGGACGUUAAAGUCCGACCGCGUACUUUUGUAGAACGGUCCGGCGAGUCACGUUUACCGGUGUGGUUAAGUACUUAAGGUACGGAGCCGAAGUGAGAGCAAGCAUGAAGAGUGCAUGUAAUCAGUAAACGUGGACCCGAAACCGGGUGAUCUACCCAUGUCCAGGCUGAAGCUGCCGUAAGAGGUAGUGGAGGGCCGAACGCACAUCCGUUGAAAAGGGUGGCGAUGAGGUGUGGGUAGGGGAGAAAUUCCAAUCGAACCCGGAGAUAGCUGGUUCUCCUCGAAAUAGCUUUAGGGCUAGCCCUGUGACAGUCACACGCAGGUAGAGCACUGAAUUUCCUAGGGGGCGUCAAAGCCUACCGAAGAAUAUCAAACUGCGAAUGGCGUGGUGAUGAUUCACAGGAGUCAGACUGCACGAGAUAAGUUGGGUGGUCAAAAGGGAAAGAGCCCAGACCCACUGCUAAGGUCCCAAAGUGCGUGUUAAGUGGAAAAGGAUGUGGGAUUUCAAAGACAGCUAGGAUGUUGGCUCAGAAGCAGCCACGCAUUCAAAGAGUGCGUAAUAGCUCACUAGCCGAGAGGUCCCGCGCCGAAAAUGUCCGGGGCUGAAACACGACACCGAAGCAUGGGAAUCAUACACAAGUAUGGUUGGUAGAGGAGCAUUGAUGACGCGGCGAAGCGGUACCGGCAAGGAGCCGUGGAGUGUCAUGAAGAGAGAAUGCCGGAAUGAGUAGCGAGAUUAAAGUGAGAAUCUUUAAGGCCGAAUAUCCAAGGUUUCCGGGGUAAAGCUGAUCUGCCCCGGGUAAGUCGGGGCCUAAGGCGAGGCGGAGACGCGUAGCCGAUGGACAACAGGUUGAGAUUCCUGUACUGCAAUGGAUCAGAACUGUGGGGACACGGGAGGUAAAGGAAAGCCGGGAAAGGAAAGCCCGGUGAAAGCCGAGGAGGCGUAUGCGAGGCAAAACCCGCAUGCAAGCCAGAGCGGUGAGAGGAGCGAAACAAAAGUAGCGAAGUUCCGGAGCCUGCCGUCAAGAAAAGCCGCUAUAGUGUCCAUUGUACCCGUACCGUAAACCGACACAGGUAGAUGAGGAGAGAAUCCUAAGGCCGGCGGGAGAAGCAUUGUCAAGGAACUCGGCAAAAUGACCCCGUAACUUCGGGAGAAGGGGUGCCACAGCAAUGUGGCCGCAGAGAAUAGGCCCAAGCAACUGUUUAGCAAAAACACAGGUCUAUGCAAAACCGAAAGGUGAAGUAUAUGGGCUGACGCCUGCCCGGUGCUGGAAGGUUAAGGGGAGAUGUCAGGAAACGAAGCAUCGAACUUAAGCCCCAGUAAACGGCGGCCGUAACUAUAACGGUCCUAAGGUAGCGAAAUUCCUUGUCGGGUAAGUUCCGACCCGCACGAAAGGCGUAAUGAUUUGGGCGCUGUCUCGACAAUGCACCCGGUGAAAUUGAAGUGCCAGUGAAGAUGCUGGCUACCCGCGCCAGGACGGAAAGACCCCAUGGAGCUUUACUCUAGUUUGGCACUGGGAUCUGGCAUUGCACGUACAGGAUAGGUGGGAGGCUGAGAAAUGAUGACGCCAGUUGUCAUGGAGCCGGCGUUGGGAUACCACCCCUGCAUUGCUAGGUUUCUAACCAGCCGCCGUGAUCCGGCGGUGGGACAAUGCCAGGCGGGGAGUUUGACUGGGGCGGUCGCCUCCGAAAGGGUAUCGGAGGCGCUCAAAGGUUCACUCAGAAUGGACGGAAACCAUUCGCAGAGCGCAAAGGCAGAAGUGAGCUUGACUGUGACACCGACGGGUGGAACAGGUACGAAAGUAGGACUUAGUGAUCCGGUGGCAUAAAGUGGGAUUGCCAUCGCUCAACGGAUAAAAGCUACCCUGGGGAUAACAGGCUUAUCACUCCCAAGAGUUCACAUCGACGGAGUGGUUUGGCACCUCGAUGUCGGCUCAUCGCAUCCUGGGGCUGGAGUAGGUCCCAAGGGUUGGGCUGUUCGCCCAUUAAAGCGGUACGCGAGCUGGGUUCAGAACGUCGUGAGACAGUUCGGUCCCUAUCCGGCGCGGGCGCAGGAUAUCUGAGAGGAGCCGUCCUUAGUACGAGAGGACCGGGACGGACUGACCUCUGGUGUACCGGCUGGCAUGCCAAUGCCACGGCCGGGUAGCCAAGUCGGGCAGGGAUAAACGCUGAAGGCAUCUAAGCGUGAAGCCCCCCCUCAAGAUGGGAUAUCCCACUGAGUAAUCAGGUAAGACCCCUUGAAGACGACAAGGUUGAUAGGCUGGAGAUGUAAGUACAGCAAUGUAUUCAGUUGACCAGUACUAAUAGGUCGAGGGCUUAACCGA